GAUGAACGCUGGCGGCGUGCCUAAUACAUGCAAGUCGAGCGAACAGACGAGGAGCUUGCUCCUCUGACGUUAGCGGCGGACGGGUGAGUAACACGUGGAUAACCUACCUAUAAGACUGGGAUAACUUCGGGAAACCGGAGCUAAUACCGGAUAAUAUAUUGAACCGCAUGGUUCAAUAGUGAAAGACGGUUUUGCUGUCACUUAUCGAUGGAUCCGCGCCGCAUUAGCUGGUUGGUAAGGUAACGGCUUACCAAGGCGACGAUGCGUAGCCGACCUGAGAGGGUGAUCGGCCACACUGGAACUGAGACACGGUCCAGACUCCUACGGGAGGCAGCAGUAGGGAAUCUUCCGCAAUGGGCGAAAGCCUGACGGAGCAACGCCGCGUGAGUGAUGAAGGUCUUCGGAUCGUAAAACUCUGUUAUUAGGGAAGAACAAAUGUGUAAGUAACUAUGCACGUCUUGACGGUACCUAAUCAGAAAGCCACGGCUAACUACGUG
rnacentral:rRNA from 1 species